rnacentral:rRNA from 1 species
UACGUAGGGUGCAAGCGUUGUCCGGAAUUAUUGGGCGUAAAGAGCGUGUAGGCGGCCUCGUAAGUCCGCUGUGAAAGUCCAGGGCUCAACCCUGGAAAGCCGGUGGAUACUGCGAGGCUAGAGUCCGGAAGGGGCGAGUGGAAUUCCUGGUGUAGCGGUGAAAUGCGCAGAUAUCAGGAGGAACACCAAUGGCGAAGGCAGCUCGCUGGGACGGUACUGACGCUGAGGAGCGAAAGCGUGGGGAGCGAACAGG